rnacentral:misc_RNA from 1 species
GGACCUGUUCAAGAAUUCUACUGCGUGAUAUAAACUCUCAUUUUAAUUUCUCUUCUAUCAAAAAAGAUGCAAAGCUUGAAUCUAAGUUACGUCAAUUUAACAAACAAUUUCAUUUUUGUCUGUAUUUUAGAGCAAAUGAGCCUUUAAAUGUGGUAUUUUUUUUUACAUACUUGUGGUAUUUAUUAGUGAUCUCACAUGGGUGAAUUUUAUAUCUUUCAUGUGUGAAAAAG